rnacentral:rRNA from 1 species
AUUGAACGCUGGCGGCAUGCUUUACACAUGCAAGUCGAGCGGCAGCGCGGGGGCAACCCUGGCGGCGAGCGGCGAACGGGUGAGUAAUGCAUCGGAACGUGUCCCCGUAGUGGGGGAUAACCCGGCGAAAGCCGGGCUAAUACCGCAUAUGCUCUACGGAGAAAGGGGGGGAUCCGCAAGAACCUCUCGCUAUGGGGAGCGGCCGAUGUCCGAUUAGCUUGUUGGUGGGGUAAUGGCUUACCAAGGCGACGAUCGGUAGCUGGUCUGAGAGGAUGAUCAGCCACACUGGGACUGAGACACGGCCCAGACUCCUACGGAGGCAGCAGUGGGGAAUUUUUGGGACAAUGGGGGGCAACCCUGAUCCAGCCAUGCCGCGUGCGGG